rnacentral:lncRNA from 1 species
AAAGUAUUGCCAAAAAAAGGAAAGGGUCAUUCUUUUUUAAAUAGAUUAAAAAGGAAGGUAGGUCAUUCGUUUUUUGAACCGAGGUAGUAGUUACUUACCAUGAGGAUUAACGUAUUGGUGUCAGAAAACUUUCUUUAAUAUACAAAUCCUUAUUGCUUUAAUAUUCUCUUUGAUAAUGGGAAGAAAUUCUCCUACACAAGGUUUAAUCAAAGUUACAUGACACAAAUCCUUGGAUUUCUAUACAUGGUAAAAUGACCAAGGUUGAAGGUCUUCAUAGCUGGGUGAGUUAUGGUUUCUUUGCUGUUUCCUUUCAGCUUCCAACAUGAUGGAAGUUGGUUAGCAGAUUUGAUCCCACAGAGACAAAAAAAUUAGGUGAUUUCUUCUGAUUUGUCCUUGCCUUGGUGGACAGAGUUACCUGAUACUAUUGCUGGUGAGCGGUAGGAGGUAGAAGAUAUCUUGUCGAAUGAGUCAAGGAGCACAAAAUCUGGUUAUCUGGUUAGCAUCCAGCCUAUUAUAUUUGCAAAGCAAUCACCUGCUCAUAUGGCGCCACCCUUGUGCUUCAAAACAGAAAUUACAGUAAUUUUUUUGGACAAGAACUGCAAUAUAGAAACUAUUCAAGAUUGUUUGCUGGUAUAGGUGACUAUUCAAUUCUAUCAAAGAAGAUAGCCACUGUGAUGCCACAAGUAGGGUCUGAAGAGGGCGAGGUGUAUGCAUAUCUUACCCCUACUCUUCUGUGUGGCAGAGAAGUUGUUUCCGAUAAAUAUUCUAUCAGGUAACACUGAACAUGAUUAAAGUGGCAUCAGUCUGUAAGAAUGAUAUUUCAUUCAAUUUCGGAUGUUUGUUCUCGUUAUAUGUUACAUAUUAUAGUGUACAGAUUGUUAUCCGAUAAUGAAAUUAUGCUUUAGUAUAUAUUGAUUUUAAUGCUUCAUGGUUUACAAUUCAU